rnacentral:rRNA from 1 species
AACGAACGCUGGCGGCAUGCCUAACACAUGCAAGUCGAACGAGACCUUCGGGUCUAGUGGCGCACGGGUGCGUAACGCGUGGGAACCUGCCCUUAGGUUCGGAAUAACUCCCCGAAAGGGGUGCUAAUACCGGAUAAUGUCUUCGGACCAAAGAUUUAUCGCCUUUGGAUGGGCCCGCGUUGGAUUAGCUAGUUGGUAGGGUAAAAGCCUACCAAGGCGCCGAUCCAUAGCUGGUCUGAGAGGAUGAUCAGCCACACUGGGACUGAGACACGGCCCAGACUCCUACGGGAGGCAGCAGUGGGUAAUAUUGGACAAUGGGCGAAAGCCUGAUCCAGCAAUGCCGCGUGAGUGAUGAAGGCCUUAGGGUUGUAAAGCUCUUUUACCCGGGAUGAUAAUGACAGUACCGGGAGAAUAAGCUCCGGCUAACUCCGUG